rnacentral:rRNA from 1 species
UACGGAGGGUGCAAGCGUUAUCCGGAUUCACUGGGUUUAAAGGGUGCGUAGGUGGGCAGGUAAGUCAGUGGUGAAAUCCCCGAGCUUAACUCGGGAACUGCCGUUGAUACUAUCUGUCUUGAAUAUUGUGGAGGUGAGCGGAAUAUGUCAUGUAGCGGUGAAAUGCUUAGAUAUGACAUAGAACACCGAUUGCGAAGGCAGCUUGCUACACAAUUAUUGACACUGAGGCACGAAAGCGUGGGGAGCAAACAGG